UGCCAGCCGCCGCGGUAAUACGAAGGGACCGAGCGUAGUUCGGAAUUACUGGGCUUAAAGAGUUCGUAGGUUGUUGAAAAAGUUAGUGGUGAAAUCCCAGCGCUUAACUCUGGAACUGCCAUUAAAACUUUUCAGCUAGAGUAUGAUAGAGGAAAGCAGAAUUUCUAGUGUAGAGGUGAAAUUCGUAGAUAUUAGAAAGAAUACCAACUGCGAAGGCAGAUUACUAACAAUUAACUGACGCUGAGGGACGAAAGCGUGGGUAGCGAACAGGAUUAGAUA
rnacentral:rRNA from 1 species